AUUGUUUUCCCUGUUCUGGGUUUUUUUUUUGCCUUUCCAUGUGAAUUUGAGAAUUGCUCUUUCCAUAUCUUUGAAGAAUUGUGUUGGGAUUUAGAUGAGGAUUGCAUUGAAUCUAUAGAUUGCCUUUUGUACGAUGGCCAUUUUUACUAUGUUAAUUCUGCCAAUCCAUGAGCAUCUGAGAUCUCUCCAUAUAAUGAUAUCUUCUUCAAUUUUUUUCUUGAGAGACUUGAAGUUAUUGUCAUACAAGAUUUUCACUUGUUUGAUUAGAGUUACCCCAGGAUAUUUUAUACAAUUUGUGCCUAUUAUGAAAGGAAUUGUUUCCCUAAUUUCUUUCUCUGCCUGUUUAUCUUUUGUAUAAAGAAAGGCUACUGAUUUAAUCGAGUUAAUUUUAUAUUCAGUCACUUUGCUGAAGUUGUUUUUCAGCUGGAGAAAGUCUUUGGUAGAAUUUUCGGGGUCACUUAUGUAUACUAUUAUAUCAUCUACAAAUAGUGAUACCUUCAUGUCUUCUUUAUCAAAUUCUAUCUCCUCAAUCUCUUUUUGUUGUCUUAUUGUUCUUGUUAACACUUCGAGUACUAUAUUGAAUAGAUAUAGGAAGAGUGGGCACCCUUGUCUUGUCCCCAUUUCAGUGGGAUUGUUUCAAGUAUGUCUCCAUUUAAUUUAAUAAUUGCUAUUGGUUUGUAGUAAAUUGCUUUUAUUAUGUUUAUGUAUGGGCCUUGACUUCCUGAUCUCUCCAAUAUAUUUAACACGAAGGAGUGUUGUAUUUUGUCAAAUGCUUUUUCAGCAUCUAAGGAGAUGAUCAUGUGAUCUUUUUUCUUUGAGUUUGUUUAUGUAGUGGAUUACGAUAAUGGAUUUUCAUAUAUUAAACCAACCUUGCAUCCCUGGGAUGAAGCCU
rnacentral:lncRNA from 1 species